CGGCGGACGGGUGGGUAACGCGUGGGUAACCUACCCUGUACACACGGAUAACAUACCGAAAGGUAUGCUAAUACAGGAUAAUAUAUUUGAGAGGCAUCUCUUGAAUAUCAAAGGUGAGCCAGUACAGGAUGGACCCGCGUCUGAUUAGCUAGUUGGUAAGGUAACGGCUUACCAAGGCGACGAUCAGUAGCCGACCUGAGAGGGUGAUCGGCCACAUUGGAACUGAGACACGGUCCAA
rnacentral:rRNA from 1 species